UCCAAUAGGAACUUGGUAUAGAUUAUCUUUAAACGCGAUUUAUUCUUUCCCUUCCUUUACAGCCAUUCUGAACAUGGACAACACUGUAGUGGACCUUGAGACCUUGCAAUCGCUGUAUAGCAAAAGAACACAGCAAGAUGAGAUGGAGAAGAUUGAGAAGCACAUCAAAUCAUCCAAAGUCAAGAACGACGCAAAGCCAUUGGCCAAGCCUGAACUUGUUUCUCUUCCAGUUGUCCCAAAUCCCCAAUUUCUCAGGAAGGGUGUUUUGCAUCCUCUUUCAAUCAACCUUUGUUGAAUGUAUCUCCUCCAUCCUCCGGAAAG
rnacentral:lncRNA from 1 species